AAUUAACCCGGAUCAAGAACUAGAUAUAUUUAUCAAGGCAGUAGUUUUGGGGCAACAGACAAGCGUACUUGUGGAAUACAUCAUGAAGAUUUUAGGAUUGGACAUUUGUGCUGAUACAUUGGUAGGAGAUGAAAUGCUUAAAGGAAUAUCAGGAGGGCAAAAAAGCGGCUUACGACAGCUGAACUGCUUAUGGGUCCUUCUAGGGUACUUCUCUUGGAUGAGAUAUCAACGGGACUAGACAGCUCUACUACACAUCAGAUCAUCAAUUAUCUUCGGCACACAACUCAUGCACUGGGUGGUACAACACUGGUAUCUCUCUUGC